UGCGGCUCAGAUCCUGUAUGUGGCUGUGGUGUAGGCUGCCGGCUACAGCUCUGAUUUGACCCCUAGUUUGGGAACCUCCAUAGGCUACAGGUGCCACCCUAAGAAGNAAAAAAAAAAAAAAAAAAAAAGAGAGAGAGAGAGAUAACUCUCCCAAAAAUAUAUUUUCAAAAGUAUGAGCUAGUUUUUAACUAGCAGAAUGAAUAUAAUUUUAUAGGCCAGAGUCAUUAAUCCUUGAAGGAGAAGAUUAUCUCUGCUUUUGAUGAAGAAACUGAAGAUAUGGACUGUGAUUUUUCUCUUUAGGAAUAUGGGCCCUGGGAAUACAAUUAAAACCUGUUUAGGAGACCUCUUAGCCUUCUAGUAAACACAAAGUCACUGGUAACCCUCCCCUCCCGCUGAAGAUACAUCUGCUGUGUUUAUGAAGGUUGUCAAGUUACUAAGCAACAAAAGAUCACAAGCAGUUGGAAUAUUGAUGUCUAGCCUUCAUUUAGAUAUGAAAGAUAUACAGCAUGGUAAGUAAAAAAAAUUACAGCCUUUGAA
rnacentral:lncRNA from 1 species